UACGAAGGGGGCUAGCGUUGCUCGGAAUAACUGGGCGUAAAGCGCACGUAGGCGGCUUUUUAAGUCAGGGGUGAAAUCCUGGAGCUCAACUCCAGAACUGCCUUUGAUACUGGGAAGCUCGAGUCCGGGAGAGGUGAGUGGAACUCCGAGUGUAGAGGUGAAAUUCGUAGAUAUUCGGAAGAACACCAGUGGCGAAGGCGGCUCACUGGCCCGGUACUGACGCUGAGGUGCGAAAGCGUGGGGAGCAAACAGG
rnacentral:rRNA from 1 species